UGGGGAAUUUUGCACAAUGGGGGAAACCCUGAUGCAGCGACGCCGCGUGAUUUAGAAGGCCUUCGGGUUGUAAAAAUCUUUUUUACGGGAUGAAAAUGACAGUACCGUAAGAAUAAGGUCCGGCUAAAUACGUGCCAGCAGCCGCGGUAAUACGUAUGGACCGAGCGUUGUCCGGAAUCAUUGGGCGUAAAGGGUACGUAGGCGGACUAGUAAGUUAGAAGUGAAAUAAUAUAGCUCAACUAUAUAAAGCUUUUAAAACUGCUAGGCUUGAGAGAUGGAAGGGAAAGUGGAAUUCCUAGUGUAGCGGUGAAAUGCGCAGAUAUUAGGAAGAAUACCGGUGGCGAAGGCGACUUUCUGGUCAUCAUCUGACGCUGAGGUACGAAAGCGUGGGUAGCAAACAGG
rnacentral:rRNA from 1 species